UACAGAGGUCCCGAGCGUUGUUCGGAUUCAUUGGGCGUAAAGGGCGCGUAGGUGGCGCGGGCAGUCAACGGUGAAAGUUCGGGGCUCAACCCUGAAUCGGCCGUCGAUACUCCCGGGCUUGAGCACUGUAGAGGCAUAUGGAAUUCCGGGUGUAGCGGUGGAAUGCGUAGAGAUCCGGAAGAACACCGGUGGCGAAGGCGGUUAGCUGGGCAGUUGCUGACACUGAGGCGCGACAGCGUGGGGAGCAAACAGG
rnacentral:rRNA from 1 species